AGUUGGAUUUCACCACAUAAUAAUUAAAAACCUAUGCGAGGGCCCUCUCACAACGAAAAGCAUAAUCAACCACUGGCCCUAAUGCUCAACUUGUAUUGCACUUCAGAUAAAAUGCUUAGGAUUUUGGCCUUUUGGAUAGUUUCAAUAUUUGAACCACUGUUUCGAAGCUGCCAAUCUGGUUUCUGAGUUUCUUUCGUUGAAACUUGAGGGAAGUAUAUGUUCUUCAGUUGUUGAAGUUUCAUAGGUGAAAAAUCUAGGAUAAGGGACAAGAUUUUAUAUCAAGUAAUUUCCAGCUUGUCUUUUAGAACAUUGACCAUUGAAAAAGGUCAAGGGGGCAUUCCGAGAAUCGAACUCGGGACCUCUCGCACCCAAAGCGAGAAUCAUACCACUAGACCAAAUGCCCGUUUUCUGAUGUAAUUCAGUCAAAAAGUCUAUGUUAGCUAUCUUUUUUUAGUAGCCAAUUCUUGCUUCCGUUGCUUCCCCCUCUGGAAAUUUCUGUGCGGUCCUCCUCGUUUUGCUUCAGCUCAUUCAUAGGGUCAGGCAGCACAGCUAGUAUGCAUAAUUGAUGGUUUGCUAUUGAAUAUGUCAUGAGAGGUGUUUUCUGGUUAAACAAAAUUUUGCCAUCUAAUGUCAAGGAAAUUGUACAUUGUAUUGUUUCGUAGUUGACUUUGUCUGAAGAGGGUAUUCUGAGAUCUGAAGUUACAGAUCUUACCAUUUGUGAAAGGCCUAAGUUGUGAUGCCCUUCAGUAAAUAUGAUAGUACCACGAAAGAAGAAUCUAUAAGAAUACGCUGGGGAAUCUCUCCUUUUGCUGUUUGACAUGUCUGAAAGUUUGGUUGAAAGCCACAAUUUUGGUUCAAUUGUCACUCUCUGGAAUAUGUGUGCUUUGCAAAAGCUAAUUAGUGGAGGAUCAAGAGGAAAAAAUGAAUAGUGUUCUAGGACAUAACUUUCAGCUGGCUUGUUGAACAAAAACUUCAUAAAAAUCAACGGGGCAUUCCGAGAAUCGAACUCGGGACCUCUCGCACCCAAAGCGAGAAUCAUACCACUAGACCAAAUGCCCUGUUGGUGGUAUAGUUUGGCUAAAGCAAUGUGUGUGCUGUUCAAUCAGUUCAUGAAAUUCGAACUCUUGCUGAGAUUGUUGGUUAAUACUGUUAAUGGAAAGGCGAUAUAGUUCUACGUGCUGCAGCUCAUUCUUGGAGAUUCAGGAAAAGUACCUUACUGUAAGUGCAUGCUCUCUAAAUAUAUUUCUCCAUGAACAUCAGUUUCAAUUGUUUGAAUUAUUGGUGAAUAUUGCACCUUUAGGUUUUUUAUGUUCUCUUGCUAAUUGUGUGCUAGAGAUUUUGUUUCGACCAAAAAAAGAAAAGAAAAGAAAAGAAAAAGACAAAGAGGUGUAGAAAAUCUGUAGGGUGCAUUCCAAGAAUCGAACUCUGAACCUCUUGCUCCAAAGCGAGAAUUAUACUGCUAGACCAAAUGCACAUCUGUUGAUGCAAUUCAUUUAACACUUAAAUCAUUAAAGCAAAUGCCAUUUUCUGUUGAAAAAGACUGUUCCUGUGUUUAAUGGUCAAAGGCAACUAGUGCAAAUGCCAGCUAACUGGUGUCUUCCUAGUUGAUUUGGAUUUCCUAUGUGCAAAUUUUUUUUUUGUUCAGUAAAUACAAGUCAUUAGAUCUGUAAAUACAGCUGCAUUUUGUGUCUUAUUGUUUUAGUUGGCUUUUUACACUGAUUAUUGAGUUAUUUUAUUAUGGUGUUCUGAGAUCUGAACUGAGUGACCUGUAGCAUCCUAAGCAAGAAUCAUACUAUUAGAUCGAAUGACCAAAGGAAACGGCUGUUUGUUAAUUAUAAGUUAGAAUGCUCUUUGGUGAUUAUCUAGUUCUUGAAAAUGCCUGUUUCUUGCUCUGUAAUGCUCUUUUGGUAAAAAUCUAUGUACAAGUCCUUGUCAAUUCUUUCAAUAAGCCUCUGUAGGGAAAACAUAUUAUCUUAUUGUAUGUGAAAGGAUGUAUUUCAUAUUUCUAUGUACCUUUCUUUUUCCCGGUUCAUGAUGUUGUAUAUGUAAAAAGUUUAUGGGGCAUUCCGAGAAUCGAACUCGGGACCUCUCGCACCCAAAGCGAGAAUCAUACCACUAGACCAAAUGCCCGGUUGCUGAUGUAAUUCAGUCAGACGACUCUUUUGCUGAGCUAUCCUUUUUGUUACAAGCCAAUUUUUGCUUCCUUUGCUUUUCCCUCUGGAAAUUUAUGUGUGGUCCUUCUCGUAUUGCUUCAGCUCAUUCAUGAGGAAUCUAGCAGCUUAGCUAGUAUAGAUAGCUGAUAGUUUACAGUUGAAUAUGUCAUGAGAGGUGGUUUCUGGUUAAACAAAAUUAUGCCAUCUAAAUUCUAAUGUGAAGGAUAUCGUACAUUGUAUUGUUUCGUAGUUGACUGUCUGAACAGGGUAUUCCGAGAUGUGAAGUUAGAAAGCUUACCACUUGAUGAAAUGCCUGAAUUGUGAUGCCCUUCAGUAAAUAUGCUGGGGGAUCUUGCCUUUUGUUUUUUUGAAAUGUAAGUUUGGUUGAAAGCCACCAAUUUGGUUAAAUUGUCACUCUCUGGAAUGUGUUUUGCUUUGCAAAAGCUCAUUGGUGGAGGGUCAAGGGGAAAAGAUGACACUUUGUAGGAUAUAACUUUCAGCUGGCUUCUUGAGCACAGACUUCAUAAAAGUGAACGGCAUUCCGAGAAUCGAACUCGGGACCUCUCGCACCCAAAGCGAGAAUCAUACCACUAGACCAAAUGCCCAUCUGUUUAUGCAUCUCAGUGGAAGUGUUAAAUGCUGAUUGCUGUUAAUCCUCUCUUGAAAACCAAUACAGAUUUAUGAAAGGGAAGCUGCCUUUCAGAUGUUGUUCUCUUUGUUGACUUUGAAAUCUAAAAUAUUGAAUAACUCUUAACAGGGUAUCCAAGGUCUGAUCUUUGAGAGCUCGUUCCAAGUUUUCCUAUCUGUUUUUUUGCUUCUGACAUACUUGUAUUAUUAUAGGUUUCUCAAAUACAUGAAUGCUGCAUAUAGUUAUUGGGGGAAAAAAAUUUAAUUGAAAAGAAAAGUUUUCGAGGGGCAUUCCGAGAAUUGAACUCGGGACCUCUCGCACCCUAAGCGAGAAUCAUACCACUAGACCAAAUGCCCUGUUGCUGAUAUAGUUUGGCUAUAACACAUUUGUGUAGUUCAAUCAGUUCUUGAAAUUCGAAGUUCUGCCUUAGUUUUUUUAAGUUAUAUGACCGUUUUAUUAUUGGCGCAGCUCAUGUUUGGUGAAUUGGGUGGCCUACAGCUAGUGUAUUGAAUUUAUUCUAGUGCACAAAAUUUAAAUAAUCAAAUAUGGAACCAGUGGUACAUUAUAGAUCUUGCUCUCCUACUUGAUUUUCUUCACCGCAUUACUUGUGGAAGUCGUAACAGAUGUUCCGAGAUCUUGCUUCUUGUUCUGUAAAAUGUCAUGAGUCUUGUAACAAUUUGGAUUUCCUAUGUGCAAUUUGUUUGUUUGUUCAGUAAAUAUAAGUCAUUAGAUCUGAAAAUACAGCUGCACUUUGUGUCUUAGUGUUUUAGUUGACUUUUAACACUGAUUAUUGAAAUAUUUUAUGGUGUUGUUCUGAGAUCUGAACUCAGUGACCUGUAGCAUCCUAAGCAAGAAUCAUACUAUUAGAUCGAUUGGCUAAAGGAAAUGGCUGUUUGUUGUUUAUAUUUUUUAUUUUUUAAUUGUUGGGAAGCUGAUAUCUGGAUUCUUAUGUCUCUGGAUGGAAAUUUUUUGGAAUCAUACCAGUAGAUCAAAUCUCAUGUUGUCCUGUCACCGUAGUUUGAAUGCAAAUGAUAUUGCUGUUUGUUGAUUAUCUAGUUCUUGAAAAUGUCAUUUUCUUGCUCUGUAAUGUCGUCUUGGUGAAAAUCUAUGUGCAAUUCCAUGUCCAUUCUUUCAAAUAACCGUCUAGUAGGGAAAAGAUAUUAUCAGAUCGUACGUGUAAGGAUAAGUUGCAUAUUUCCAAGUAACUAUCUUUUUCUGGGUUCGUGAUGUUGAAUAUGUAAAAAGUUUAGAGGGGCAUUCCGAGAAUCGAACUCGGGACCUCUCGCACCCAAAGCGAGAAUCAUACCACUAGACCAAAUGCCCGGUUGCUGAUGUAAUUCAGUUUAAAAGGCAGUAGGACAAUGUUUGCAGCUAAAUAUGACUUUGAAAGGCCAAUCUUGCUUCCAUGUUAUUUGGACGGACAGUGCAUAUGAUUUCUUUCCUGUUGCUGCGGUUCAUUCUUGGAGAAUGAUGGAAAAUAGUAGCACUGGGCAUUACGAGAAUCGAACUCACAUCCAUAGCGAGAAUCGCAACACUAGACCAUUCAUCUCUUUUUUGGGGAAUCUGGCAACAUAGAGCUAGUUUCAAACUUGGAGAAUCAUGCAAAGUGUGACUGAUGGAAAGGGCUUUGUUGAUUCAGCUAAUUAAAAUUCAUCGGACCAGCCGAUAAGGACAUAACGACGUUCAAAAUCAAGCUUAUUCGAUCAGUCUUAGUGAUUGAUAGAAGAAGUGUGGUUUUGGCCUCAGAAACGAUUGCAGAGUGGAAACGAAUAAUUCAUGUUGCCUACCCCAAAUAAAGGGGAUCUUUUUAUCAAAUAGCUGCAGCUCAAUCCUUGAGAAUCAGACAGGACAACACUAUCGUAAGUCCCACUCUCCGUUGAUCUUCUGUUCGAGACUAUCGUCCGAAAAAUGUUAGAAUCCUUGCUGGGAUUCUGUUUUUCUGGGCACACACCAAUUGAACUUUCAGCUCUUGAGCAUUGAAAGGUGUUAAAUCCGCUCCACACAAGUAGACCAAAUGCCUGAGUUUAAGACUGCCCUUUCACUUGAAACUCGCCCAUGAUAUCGUCCAUUUCUUAUGUUCCGUGCGUUGGAAAGCUGGUUUCAGGUUUUCCGAAGUUGUUUUUGCUGGAAGGUAUCAGGGAACGAUAUAUUGUUUCCUGUUGCUCGGAAAAACCGCCCAGCAACGAGAAAAUACUCACGCCCUUGUACUUUGAAGUUUGGCUCUGUUAAAAAUGCUAAAUGCGGUUGGAUUUCAUCUUUUUGGUUCAUGUUUAUGUGAAAGUUUCGACUUUUAUUAGGGGUGGGCGUAUCUGAUCUCAUUCUGUGUUCUUAUGUUUCGGAUAUCUGAGUAUU